GAUGGAUCUGGCUGUUGUUAUUUUUUAUUUUUUACUAUUUUGCAUUUCUGAAUUGCUAUAAUGGGUUUAUUUUCAUUUUCUGCUGACAGAAUGCUGUGGUUAUUGUUACUUUGGAACUGUUGAGGAGUAUUCUCUCAUUCUGAAAUCAAGGCGAAACAUUUCGUUACAUAGCGUCAGUAUGUGAACCCCACAACCUAAUGCCCAAAUGCUUACACACACUCACAGUAACCUUUAUAACAUUUAUCUGCCUGUGACGUUUAGUGGUUGGAGAGAUUUAAAGACCUGUGUAUUUUCUCCAGUUCUUUUCUCACCAACCUCAUUAAGUAGUCAGAUUGGCAUUUAGCUUGACUGACACCCCUGUGUUGUGUGUGUUAGCCCCUUUAAGCUAACAUUUGGGCCCCUACUGUUGCUGGUGCUGUUUCCACAAUGCAGGCCCUUCCCUCUUACCGGGGUCAUCUCAGGUCAAAGGCCUGUUGGUGAGUCCACUUGAUUGGGCAUUCCUCACCUCCUUGCUUUAAAAUAUACUUUGAAAUGACCGAACAGACAACAUUUCAGCUACAGGAGUCCACCCCUGAGAAUCUGUUGUUGCAACGCGGUCGGGUGAUUUAUUGUCAAUCUUGUUUUUGUUAUCUGAUGCCCUACUGCUAUCACUCUGGUGCUUCUCUUACUGUUUUUAAGAAGUGGUAUCCCAACAGAAAUAGAAUUCUAAAAGCAAAAUUGUGUUUUCCAUUUCCAUGUCCCCGUCGUGGUGGAGAUUGUGACAGCUUCUGGAGGGCUGCGCCUGGGUCAUUUACUGGUGCUGUGCACUGAGGUGGAAGAAAAACACACAUGGGGAGGUGCUACUAUUGUCCAAUGCUAUUUCACUAUAAUGUCCUUUCUAUCUUCUAUAUAUCUAUGGCCUCUGUUACACUGUGGUAGAAGAUGAAAAUAAAAACACCUGCCUAAAGACAAGUCCAACUCUCCACAGAGAACUAGGGACCUGUAAAAUGGCUUCCCACAAUGAACAAGUGUUAGAGAAGCCUGGAUGAAACACCUGCAUCAAAGCAGCUCUUUUGGAGUUCCCUGUAGGAGCUGGUAUAAGUGGCUGGUAUGAAUACAUACGACAGG
ensembl:lncRNA